AGGAAUAGUUCUUACAGACAGACCUGCUGAGCGCUUGCAGACUUUAUCAUGCUAUGCUUAGUGUUAAAGUUGAAAAACUUGGGGGCUUCUGGGAGUGCAACACAGUGAAGUCAAUGAGUUGAAGAUAUAGAACCAUUCAGAUUGUCCUGCCACCUGCAUUUGGGGAGGCUGUCGUUCCUGUUUCAUAUUUCUCCUGUUUCUAAAUCUUGUAAACAAAAAAUAUCAUGUGAGCUUCACCCAAGUUUCAGAGCAAGAUGCAGUAGUUUCUUUGAACAAGC